rnacentral:rRNA from 1 species
UACGAAGGGGGCUAGCGUUGCUCGGAAUCACUGGGCGUAAAGGGUGCGUAGGCGGGUCUUUAAGUCAGGGGUGAAAUCCUGGAGCUCAACUCCAGAACUGCCUUUGAUACUGAGGAUCUUGAGUACGGGAGAGGUGAGUGGAACUGCGAGUGUAGAGGUGAAAAUUCGUAGAUAUUCGCAAAGAACACCAGUGGCGAAGGCGCUCACUG